UACGUAGGGUGCGAGCGUUGUCCGGAAUUACUGGGCGUAAAGAGCUCGUAGGUGGUUUGUCGCGUUGUCCGUGAAAACUCACAACUCAAUUGUGGGCGUGCGGGCGAUACGGGCAGACUGGAGUACUGCAGGGGAGACUGGAAUUCCUGGUGGUAGCGGGUGGAAUGCGCAGAUAUCAGGAGGAACACCGGUGGCGAAGGCGGGUCUCUGGGCAGUAACUGACGCUGAGGAGCGAAAGCGUGGGGAGCGAACAGG
rnacentral:rRNA from 1 species